rnacentral:ribozyme from 1 species
AAAAAAAAAAGAAAAAAGAAAAAAAGGAGCCUUGCUAGCAAGAGUAGUCAAACCGUAACUCUAGUGUGUGCUGUGUACUUAACUUUACCUUUUAUG